AUGAACGCUGGCGGCGUGCUUAACACAUGCAAGUCGAACGGAAAGGCUCCUGCUUGCAGGGGUACUCGAGUGGCGAACGGGUGAGUAACACGUGGGUGAUCUGCCCUGCACUUCGGGAUAAGCUUGGGAAACUGGGUCUAAUACCGGAUAGGACCGCAUUUUGGAUGGUGUGGUGGAAAGUUUUUUCGGUGUGGGAUGAGCUCGCGGCCUAUCAGCUUGUUGGUGGGGUAAUGGCCUACCAAGGCGUCGACGGGUAGCCGGCCUGAGAGGGUGUACGGCCACAUUGGGACUGAGAUACGGCCCAGACUCCUACGGGAGGCAGCAGUGGGGAAUAUUGCACAAUGGGCGCAAGCCUGAUGCAGCGACGCCGCGUGGGGGAUGACGGCCUUCGGGUUGUAAACUCCUUUCGCUAGGGACGAAGAGUAAUUGACGGUACCUGGAGAAGAAGCACCGGCUAACUACGUG
rnacentral:rRNA from 1 species